CUCUUCGGAGACUUAGUAGAGUGGCGCACGGGUGAGUAACGCGUAAGUAAUCUACCCUCGCAUUCGGAAUAACCCACCGAAAGGUGUGCUAAUACCGGAUACGUCUGAUUUAAUAUCUUUAUAUCAGAGAAAGAUGGCCUCUGAUUCAAGCUGUUGUGCGGGGAGGAGCUUGCGUACCAUUAGCUAGUUGGUAGGGUAACGGCCUACCAAGGCAACGAUGGUUAGCGGGUCUGAGAGGAUGAUCCGCCACACUGGAACUGGAACACGGACCAGACUCCUACGGGAGGCAGCAGUGAGGAAUAUUGCGCAAUGGGGGCAACCCUGACGCAGCGACGCCGCGUGGAUGAUGAAGGCCUUCGGGUUGUAAAAUCCUGUCAGAUGGGAAGAAGUGCACUGUAGUUAAUAGCAUCAGUGUUUGACGGUACCAUCAAAGGAAGCACCGGCUAACUCCGUGCCAGCAGCCGCGGUAAUACGGAGGGUGCAAGCGUUGUUCGGAAUUACUGGGCGUAAAGCGCGCGUAGGCGGCAUGCUAAGUCAGCUGUGAAAGCCCAUGGCUCAACCAUGGAGGUGCAUUUGAAACUGGCAUGCUUGAGUAUCGGAGGGGGUAGUGGAAUUCCCGGUGUAGAGGUGAAAUUCGUAGAUAUCGGGAGGAAUACCGGU
rnacentral:rRNA from 1 species